UACAGAGGAGCCAAGCGUUGUCCGGAUUGACUGGGCGUAAAGCGCACGCAGGCGGUUGCGCGCGUGGGGUGUGAAAUCUGGCCGCUUAACGGCCAGGCGCCAUCCCAUACGGCGCGACUGGAGUGAUGCAGAGGUCGAUGGAAUUGCCGGUGUAGUGGUGAAAUGCGUAGAGAUCGGCAGGAACACCCAGGGGGAAACCAGUCGACUGGGCAUCGACUGACGCUGAGGUGCGAGAGCGUGGGGAGCGAACCGG
rnacentral:rRNA from 1 species